rnacentral:misc_RNA from 1 species
AGAUGGAUCAUUUCGAUGAAAACCUUUUUUCUGAGGUGUGGCUCGCACCUGUCUAACUAAACUUGAGCUACCCAAUUUCAACACGGUUGCAUCGGUUGGCUGUCAAACAGUGCCUCGGCGCUGGGAGGCGGUCGACACACAACACAAACACUUUUGAUGAUUUAGGAUUUUGAAUGAAGUUCAUUUUUACGAUGGAACCGACUGGUAAUGCGGUCGUCUAAAUCUAAAAAACAACUUUUGGCAACGGAUCUCUUGGUUCUCCCAUCGAUGAAGAACGCAGCGAAUUGCGAUAAGUAAUGUGAAUUGCAGAAGUGAAUCAUCGAAUCUUUGAACGCACCUUGCGCUCCCGGCAGAUCUAAUCUGGGGAGCAUGCCUGUUUGAGGGCCGCGAAUUGUUUCGAACGACAGCUUUUUUUCUUUGUGAAAAAGUUGGCGGAUCGGUAUUGAGGGUUUGCCAUUUACCAUGGCUCCCUCGAAAUGCAUUAGCGCAUCCAUUUGAUAGGCAAGACGGACGAAAGCUCAAUUUUCGCCCUCUCUUCCCUGCCGGGUUUUGAUAAUAUCAGGACUUCGGAGGCGGAGAAAGGGUUAGAGCUGGACGCAACGUUUUGCUGUUUGGAGUGCUUCUGAAACCCGCCCAUGCCUCUUUCUUCGGAAAAAGGAAGGGAUUUUUUUUCAAUUCAUCGGCCUCAGAUUGGUAGGACUACCCGCUGAACUUAAGCAUAUCAAUAAGCGGAGGAAAAGAAACUAACAAGGAUUCCCCUAGUAACGGCGAGUGAAGAGGGAAGAGCCCAAGAUUGAAAGCUGGCGUCUUCGGCGUCCGCAUUGUAAUCUCAAGAAGUGUUUUCCGCUUCGGACCAUGCCUAAGUCCCUUGGAAAAGGGCAUCAUAGAGGGUGAUAAUCCCGUACAUGGCAUGGAGCGCCCGAAGCUUUGUGAUACGCUUUCUAAGAGUCGAGUUGUUUGGGAAUGCAGCUCAAAAUGGGUGGUAAAUGCCAUCUAAGGCUAAAUAUUGGGGAGAGACCGAUAGCGAACAAGUACAGUGAUGGAAAGAUGAAAAGAACUUUGAAAAGAGAGUUAAACAGUACGUGAAAUUGCCAAAAGGGAAGGGUAGGAGGUCAGAGAUGCGGCCUAGGAUUCAGCCUUGCUUUUGCUUGGUGUUUUUCCUAGGUUGCAGGCCAACGUCGGUUUUGGGCACUGGAGAAGGGUGGAAGGAAUGUGGCACCUCUCGGGGUGUGUUAUAGCCUUCUACUGGAUACAGCGACCGAGACCGAGGACAGCAGCGUACUCGCAAGAGCGGGCCUUCGGGCACCUUUACGCUUAGGGCGUUGGCAUAAUGGCCCUCUACCACCCGUCUUGAAACACGGACCAAGGAGUCUAACAUGUAUGCGAGUCUUUGGGUGGCAAACCCAUAGGCGCAAUGAAAGUGAAUUCAGGUGGGAUCCGCAAGGUGCACCAUCGACCGAUCCUCACGUCUUUUUAAGUCGUGGAUUUGAGUAAGAGCAUACCUGUUGGGACCCGAAAGAUGGUGAACUAUGCCUGAAUAGGGUGAAGCCAGAGGAAACUCUGGUGGAGGCUCGUAGCGGUUCUGACGUGCAAAUCGAUCGUCAAAUUUGGGUAUAGGGGCGAAAGACUAAUCGAACCAUCUAGUAGCUGGUUCCUGC